rnacentral:rRNA from 1 species
CCCUUAGAUGUUCUGGGCCGCACGCGCGCUACACUGACGAAUGCAACGAGCUUAUAACCUUGGCCGAAAGGUCUGGGUAAUCUCCAAAUUUCGUCGUGAUGGGGAUAGAUUAUUGCAAUUAUUAAUCUUCAACGAGGAAUGCCUAGUAAGCGCAAGUCAUCAGCUUGCGUUGAUUACGUCCCUGCCCUUUGUACACACCGCCCGUCGCUCCUACCGAUUGAAUGGUCCGGUGAAGCGUUCGGACCGUGGCCUUUGGACGGUUCCCGAUCGUUGCUGCGGAAAGUUUAGUGAACCUUAUCACUUAGAGGAAGGAGAAGUCGUAACA